GCCCGGGUGGCGGAAUAGGUAGACGCAAGGGACUUAAAAUCCCUCGGGACUAAAUCCCGUGCCGGUUCGAUUCCGGCCCCGGGCA
rnacentral:tRNA from 1 species